rnacentral:ncRNA from 1 species
CGUGCUAUCUGUUCAAUUGUUUUAGAACCUCAGAUUCGAACAUGACUUAGUAAAUAAAAGACUUAAAAUGAAUCAAACAAGCAAAGAAAUUGAUUAAGUAGCAAGCGGGUCCAGUUUCGUCGAGAGGCCGGAUUCGGGCGUUACAGGAAUUCCGAAAAGAAUUAUCUUUUCUGUUUAACAGCCUGCCCACCCUGGAAACGGCUCAGACGGAGGUAGGGUCCAGCGGCUGGAAGAGCUCCGCACGUCGCGUGGUGACUGGUGCAUUCCCGGCGGCCCUUGAAAAUCCUGAGGACCGAGUGCCGCUCACGCCCAGUCGUACUCAUAUCCGCAUCAGGUCUCCAAGGUGAACAGCCUCU